rnacentral:rRNA from 1 species
AACGAACGCUGGCGGCAGGCUUAACACAUGCAAGCCGAGCGCCCCGCAAGGGGAGCGGCAGACGGGUGAGUAACGCGUGGGAAUCUACCCAUCCCUACGGAAUAGCUCCGGGAAACUGGAAUUAAUACCGUAUACGCCCUACGGGGGAAAGAUUUAUCGGGGAUGGAUGAGCCCGCGUUGGAUUAGCUAGUUGGUGGGGUAAGGGCCUACCAAGGCGACGAUCCAUAGCUGGUCUGAGAGGAUGAUCAGCCACAUUGGGACUGAGACACGGCCCAAACUCCUACGGGAGGCAGCAGUGGGGAAUAUUGGACAAUGGGGGCAACCCUGAUCCAGCCAUGCCGCGUGAGUGAUGAAGGCCUUAGGGUUGUAAAGCUCUUUCACCGGGGAAGAUAAUGACGGUACCCGGAGAAGAAGCCCCGGCUAACUUCGUGCCAGCCGCCGCUGUAAGAC